UACAGAGGGUGCAAGCGUUGUUCGGACUUAUUGGGCGUAAAGCGCGUGUAGGCGGCUUGGCAAGUCGGGUGUGAAAUCCCUCAGCUCAACUGAGGAAGUGCGCCCGAAACUGCUUAGCUUGAGUGCCGGAGAGGAUGGCGGAAUUCCCCAAGUAGAGGUGAAAUUCGUAGAUAUGGGGAGGAACACCGGUGGCGAAGGCGGCCAUCUGGACGGUAACUGACGCUGAGACGCGAAAGCGUGGGUAGCAAACAGG
rnacentral:rRNA from 1 species